rnacentral:rRNA from 1 species
ACUGCUCAGUAACACGUGGACAACCUGCCCAAAGGUCCGGGAUAACCCCGGGAAACUGGGGAUAAUACCGGAUAAAUCACAGGUACUGGAAGGUCUUGUGGUUGAAACUUCCGGGGCCUUUGGAUGGGUCUGCGGCGGAUUAGGUUGUUGCCGGUGUAACGUACCGUCAAGCCUGUAAUCCGUACGGGUUGUGGGAGCAAGAGCCCGGAGAUGGAUUCUGAGACACGAAUCCAGGCCCUACGGGGCGCAGCAGGCGCGAAAACUCUACAAUGCAGGCAACUGCGAUAGGGGAACAUCGAGUGAUACUCAUAUUGGGUGUCUGUCCCACCGUCUAAAAAACGGUGGUUAGCAAGGGCCGGGCAGGACCGGUGCCAGCCGCCGCGGUAAUACCGGCGGCUCGAGUGGUGGCCGAUAUUAUUGAGUCUAAAGGGUCCGUAGCCGGCUUUGCAAGUCUUUUGGGAAAUCCAGCGGCUUAACCGUUGGUCGUCCGGGAGAUACUACAUUGCUUGGGACUGGGAGAGGUAGGAGGUACUCAGGGGGUAGGAGUGAAAUCCUGUAAUCCUUUGGGGACCACCGGUGGCGAAGGCGUCCUACCAGAACAGGUCCGACGGUGAGGGACGAAAGCUAGGGGCACGAACCGGAUUAGAUACCCGGGUAGUCCUAGCCGUAAACGAUGCUCGCUAGGUGUCACAACAGUCGUGAACUGUUGUGGUGCCGUAGGGAAGCCGUGAAGCGAGCCACUUGGGAAGUACGACCGCAAGGUUGAAACUUAAAGGAAUUGGCGGGGGAGCAC